GUACUCGACCCAGCAGCACAUAUACUAAAAUUGGAAUGAUACACAGAAGAUUAGCAAGGCAUAGCCCCUGUGCAAAGAUGACAUGCAGGAGUUCCUGUCAUGGCUCAGUGGUUA
rnacentral:snRNA from 1 species